UUGGGAGGGCAUAGUAACUUAAAAUUUGUGAGGGAUCAUUCUACUUCUAACAUCACAUCAAGCAGGAGUAAAAUAAAGAAUAGCAUUCACACAGUUGUGACAUAGUAUUGCUCAAUUUCUUAUGGUGAUCUCCAUCUCCAUAGAACCUGUUCACCAUGAUGAUCUCCAUCUUCAUGAUCCAUGUGUGCCAUCCUCCUAGUGAUGAGUCCUCCAAGAACUAGUACAAGCUAUUACAUCUAAUCAGCUAGUAAAGAAGGUUACAUAGUUGCUUGGAUCAUCACAGAUCGACACGCAGGUCAUUAAUUACAUUAAUGUGACAAUAUA
rnacentral:lncRNA from 1 species